UUGUGUGGGGGUGAUUUGGGUGUUUUGAGGUGUUGCGUGGUGUUUUGAGUGUGUGUGUGAGUGAUUUUGGUGAAUACUAUGAGCUUUGAGCGUGUUUUGGGGCAUUGUUGUGUGUGUUGACUUUUGAGUGUCUAGGGAUAAAAUUUGAGUGUUUUAAGUAAUCCAAAACUAACGAGAAAUAAAGUUAAGAUAAAAAGAAUAAUUAGACAAGGAGAAACACUGUAAAUAAGCAAAAUAUUAAGAUAAUAAUUGGUCCCGUAGUCUCUAAUGGCGCGGCGGUCAAGGAGGAAGACUAUCGGCUAUGCCCGUGUGAAGAUCUCCUUAUCUUAACGUCAUUUCCUACGUUACCCUGCGGCGGCGGCGUCCCUUACUGCUCUCAGGGUGGAGGCAGAGUGGAGCCAGCACGUCCUGCCAGCCAAUCUUCCCCAAGGCUCCCUGCAGGACUGGCUGUGGCGUGUGCUGGUGGUGCUGCUGUGGUGGAGGCCAUCAUCCCUACCACCACCAUGGAUAGUCACCAGCAGCACCAGCAGUCAGCCUCAGACACACUGGGCUGAGGGACUUUAAGUGUGAUGAUUGUGGCAAGUGUUUCAAGACAAGGGCUGACAUUGCACGCCAUGUCAAGGUCCACUUUUGAGGUGGUGUGUUGUGUGGACCAGUGGUGCCACACCCGUGCUUGUAGUGGUGGUGGUGGUGGUGGUGGUCUUUUUGUAAAGGAGUUUCAAUAAAUGUUUGUAAUAAA